rnacentral:lncRNA from 1 species
UACAUCACCGACGGCGGGACCAUAUCACCUCCUACUAUAAAACGAGGUAAGACAGCAGCUUACGGAGAGGACUUCUCUUCCUCUCUCCAUCAUUGAGUCCCCUGAUUCCUCUCUACUGUUGCCUAGUCUCCUCUCUGACUUGACCAUUGGAGGGUCUCCACCGGAGGCAUCUCCGGUCAGUGUAGACUUUCCUUUGCAGGUGCUCGUUUCCCGGCGACCAGACGACGAGAGGAUUGGCCACAACAAAGAUUAAAAAUAGAUAUAGUA